rnacentral:rRNA from 1 species
UAUAUGAAGAGUUUGAUCCUGGCUCAGAAUGAACGUUGGCGGCACGCCUAACACAUGCAAGUCGAGCGAAGAACUAGUUUACUAGUUACUGAGCGGCGAACGGGUGAGUAAUACUUGGAUAAUCUG